rnacentral:rRNA from 1 species
CAGCAGCCGCGGGAAUACGAAGGGUGCAAGCGUUACUCGGAAUUACUGGGCGUAAAGCGUGCGUAGGUGGUGGUUUAAGUCCGUUGUGAAAGCCCUGGGCUAAACCUGGGAAUUGCAGUGGAUACUGGGUCACUAGAGUGUGGUAGAGGAUAGUGGAAUUUCCGGUGUAGCAGUGAAAUGCGUAGAGAUCGGAAGGAACAUCUGUGGCGAAGGCGACUAUCUGGGCCAACACUGACACUGAGGCACGAAAGCGUGGGGAGCAAACAGGAUUAGAUACCCGUGUAGUCCCUGUCUCUUAUAC